GUCCUUAUGAAUUUAAUUUAAGGUUUGACCUGCCCACUGAAAUUAUUUGAAGGGCCGCAGUAAUUUGACUGUGCAAAGGUAGCAUAAUCAUUAGUUUUUUAAUUAAAAGCUUGUAUGAAGGGUUGGACGAGGUAAAUUCUGUCUCUAUUUAAUUUAAUAUAGAAUUUAAUUUUUAAGUUAAAAAGCUUAAAUUUUUUUAAAAGACGAGAAGACCCUAUAGAUCUUUAUAUUAUAAAUACUAAUUUUAAUUAAGAAUAUUUUAUUUUUUAUUAUUUAUAUUAUUUUAUUGGGGUAAUAAGAAGAUUAAUUUAAUUCUUUUUUUAUUUUUACAUUAAUAAAUGAUUAUAUGAUCCAAUUUUAUUGAUUAAAAGAUUAAGUUACCUUAGGGAUAACAGCGUAAUUUUUUUAGAGAGUUCAUAUCGAUAAAAAAGUUUGCGACCUCGAUGUUGGAUUAAAAAUUAUCUUAGGUGCAGAAGUUUAAGAUUUUGGUCUGUUCGACCAUUAAAUUUUUACAUGAUCUGAGUUCAGACCGGUGUAAGCCAGGUCGGUUUCUAUCUUUAAUAAAAUAAAAUAUUUUAGUACGAAAGGACCAAGUAUUUGAUAUAUUUAUAUUUAGUUUUUUUUGAAUAU
rnacentral:rRNA from 1 species